GAAUUCGCCCUUAGAGUUUGAUCCUGGCUCAGGAUGAACGCUGGCGGCGCGCCUAACACAUGCAAGUCGAACGGCACCUGCCCUCGGGCAGAAGCGAGUGGCGAACGGCUGAGUAACACGUGGAGAACCUGCCCCCUCCCCCGGGAUAGCCGCCCGAAAGGACGGGUAAUACCGGAUACCCCGGGGUGCCGCAUGGCACCCCGGCUAAAGCCCCGACGGGAGGGGAUGGCUCCGCGGCCCAUCAGGUAGACGGCGGGGUGACGGCCCACCGUGCCGACAACGGGUAGCCGGGUUGAGAGACCGACCGGCCAGAUUGGGACUGAGACACGGCCCAGACUCCUACGGGAGGCAGCAGUGGGGAAUCUUGCGCAAUGGGGGGAACCCUGACGCAACGACGCCGCGUGCGGGACGGAGGCCUUCGGGUCGUAAACCGCUUUCAGCAGGGAAGAGUCAAGACUGUACCUGCAGAAGAAGCCCCGGCUAACUACGUGCCAGCAGCCGCGGUAAUACGUAGGGGGCGAGCGUUAUCCGGAUUCAUUGGGCGUAAAGCGCGCGUAGGCGGCCCGGCAGGCCGGGGGUCGAAGCGGGGGGCUCAACCCCCCGAAGCCCCCGGAACCUCCGCGGCUUGGGUCCGGUAGGGGAGGGUGGAACACCCGGUGUAGCGGUGGAAUGCGCAGAUAUCGGGUGGAACACCGGUGGCGAAGGCGGCCCUCUGGGCCGAGACCGACGCUGAGGCGCGAAAGCUGGGGGAGCGAACAGGAUUAGAUACCCUGGUAGUCCCAGCCGUAAACGAUGGACGCUAGGUGUGGGGGGACGAUCCCCCCGUGCCGCAGCCAACGCAUUAAGCGUCCCGCCUGGGGAGUACGGCCGCAAGGCUAAAACUCAAAGGAAUUGACGGGGGCCCGCACAAGCAGCGGAGCAUGUGGCUUAAUUCGAAGCAACGCGAAGAACCUUACCAGGUCUUGACAUCCGAUGCAUAGUGCAGAGAUGCAUGAAGUCCUUCGGGACAUCGAGACAGGUGGUGCAUGGUUGUCGUCAGCUCGUGUCGUGAGAUGUUGGGUUAAGUCCCGCAACGAGCGCAACCCUUAUUGCCAGUUACUACGAAAGAGGACUCUGGCGAGACUGCCGUUGACAAAACGGAGGAAGGUGGGGAUGACGUCAAAUCAUCAUGCCCUUUAUGACCUGGGCUACACACGUACUACAAUGGCGUUUAACAAAGAGAAGCAAGACCGCGAGGUGGAGCAAAACUCAAAAACAACGUCUCAGUUCAGAUUGCAGGCUGCAACUCGCCUGCAUGAAGUCGGAAUUGCUAGUAAUCGCGGAUCAGCAUGCCGCGGUGAAUACGUUCCCGGGCCUUGCACUCACCGCCCGUCA
rnacentral:rRNA from 1 species